rnacentral:lncRNA from 1 species
GAGCACUCACCUCUUCAGACUAUACUUAUACUUGUGGGGCAAAUAACUUUGUGAAAGCUCUUAAAAUAUAUAAACAAAUAAAAACAACACACAAAAUUUUAGGAGAAAAAAUGGCAAAAAGAUUUGGUCUCACGUGGCUUUGGAUAAGGAAUACUAAGUAACUACUUUCAAAUCUUUUAUUUUAAAAAAAAAUAUUAAUUUAAAAUAAAAAACUAUAAA